rnacentral:rRNA from 1 species
UACGAAGGGGGCUAGCGUUGUUCGGAAUCACUGGGCGUAAAGCGCACGUAGGCGGAUUGUUAAGUCGGAGGUGAAAUCCUGGGGCUCAACCCCAGAACUGCCUUCGAUACUGGCGAUCUUGAGUGUGGAAGAGGUUGGUGGAACUCCGAGUGUAGAGGUGAAAUUCGUAGAUAUUCGGAAGAACACCAGUGGCGAAGGCGGCCAACUGGUCCACUACUGACGCUGAGGUGCGAAAGCGUGGGGAG